rnacentral:rRNA from 1 species
GAUGAACGCUGGCGGCGUGCCUAAUACAUGCAAGUCGAGCGAAUGGAUUAAGAGCUUGCUCUUAUGAAGUUAGCGGCGGACGGGUGAGUGACACGUGGGUAACCUGCCCAUAAGACUGGGAUAACUCCGGGAAACCGGGGCUAAUACCGGAUAACAUUUUGAACCGCAUGGUUCGAAAUUGAACGGCGGCUUCGGCUGUCACUUAUGGAUGGACCCGCGUCGCAUUAGCUAGUUGGUGAGGUAACGGCCCACCAAGGCAACGAUGCGUAGCCGACCUGAGAGGGUGAUCGGCCACACUGGGACUGAGACACGGCCCAGACUCCUACGGGAGGCAGCAGUAGGGAAUCUUCCGCAAUGGACGAAAGUCUGACGGAGCAACGCCGCGUGAGUGAUGAAGGCUUUCGGGUCGUAAAACUCUGUUGUUAGGGAAGAACAAGUGCUAGUUGAAUAAGCUGGCACCUUGACGGUACCUAACCAGAAAGCCACGGCUAACUACGUGCCAGCCGCCGCAGUAA